rnacentral:rRNA from 1 species
UACGGGGGGGGCAAGCGUUGUUCGGAAUUACUGGGCGUAAAGGGCUCGUAGGCGGCCAACUAAGUCAGACGUGAAAUCCCCAGGCUCAACCUGGGAACUGCGUCUGAUACUGGAUGGCUUGAAUCCGGGAGAGGGAUGCAGAAUUCCAGGUGUAGCGGUGAAAUGCGUAGAUAUCUGGAGGAAUACCGGUGGCGAAGGCGGCAUCCUGGACCGGCGUUGACGCUGAGGAGCGAAAGCCAGGGGAGCAAACGGG